GAAACCAACAGGGAUUGCCUCAGUAACGGCGAGUGAAGCGGCAACAGCUCAAAUUUGAAAUCUGGCCUCUUGGGGUCCGAGUUGUAAUUUGUAGAGGAUGUUUCGGGUACCGCCUCGGUUUAAAUUUCUUGGAACAGAAUGUCAAAGAGGGUGAGAAUCCCGUCUUGGACCGGCGGUAGGGCCUAUGUGAAACUCCUUCGACGAGUCGAGUUGUUUGGGAAUGCAGCUCAAAAUGGGUGGUAAAUUUCAUCUAAAGCUAAAUAUUGGCCAGAGACCGAUAGCGCACAAGUAGAGUGAUCGAAAGAUGAAAAGCACUUUGAAAAGAGAGUUAAACAGUAUGUGAAAUUGUUGAAAGGGAAGCGCUUGCAACCAGACUUGAGCGCGGCGGUUCCCCCUUGCUUCUGCUUGGGUUACUCCGCCGUGUCCAGGCCAACAUCGGUUCUGGGGGUCGGUCAAAGGCUCUGGGAAUGUAUCUACCCACGGGUAGACUUAUAGACCAGGGUGUCAUGCGACCUCCCGGGACCGAGGAACGCGCUUCGGCUCGGAUGUUGGCGUAAUGGUUGUCAGCGACCCGUCU
rnacentral:rRNA from 1 species